GGCUCCGGCUUCCGUCCCGGACUGCGCCCGCGGCCGCGCAGGUUUCUUUUUUUAAUUUUUGUCGUACCUGGGAGUGCUUUGGGAGUACUCCUGGCUCUGUUCAGGAUUGACCCAUCGUGGUGCUCAGGAAACCAUCUGUAGUGCCAGGAUCAAACCAAGUCACUUUGCAUCCCUGCGACUGACCGCGACCUACCAGUGUGGACGCGUCUCCCCCCUUGGCAGAUAUCUG